GGAGGAAGAUUCCUUUGAAC
rnacentral:snRNA from 1 species